ACAACGAAGAGUUUGAUCCUGGCUCAGGAUGAACGCUAGCGACAGGCUUAACACAUGCAAGUCGAGGGGCAGCACAGGUAGCAAUACCGGGUGGCGACCGGCGCACGGGUGAGUAACGCGUAUGCAACUUACCUAUCAGAGGGGGAUAACCCGGCGAAAGUCGGACUAAUACCGCAUGAAGCAGGGGCCCCGCAUGGGGAUAUUUGCUAAAGAUUCAUCGCUGAUAGAUAGGCAUGCGUUCCAUUAGGCAGUUGGCGGGGUAACGGCCCACCAAACCGACGAUGGAUAGGGGUUCUGAGAGGAAGGUCCCCCACAUUGGUACUGAGACACGGACCAAACUCCUACGGGAGGCAGCAGUGAGGAAUAUUGGUCAAUGGCCGAGAGGCUGAACCAGCCAAGUCGCGUGAGGGAUGAAGGUUCUAUGGAUCGUAAACCUCUUUUAUAAGGGAAUAAAGUGCGGGACGUGUCCCGUUUUGUAUGUACCUUAUGAAUAAGGAUCGGCUAACUCCGUGCCAGCAGCCGCGGUAAUACGGAGGAUCCGAGCGUUAUCCGGAUUUAUUGGGUUUAAAGGGUGCGUAGGCGGCCUUUUAAGUCAGCGGUGAAAGUCUGUGGCUCAACCAUAGAAUUGCCGUUGAAACUGGGGGGCUUGAGUAUGUUUGAGGCAGGCGGAAUGCGUGGUGUAGCGGUGAAAUGCAUAGAUAUCACGCAGAACCCCGAUUGCGAAGGCAGCCUGCCAAGCCAUGACUGACGCUGAUGCACGAAAGCGUGGGGAUCAAACAGGAUUAGAUACCCUGGUAGUCCACGCAGUAAACGAUGAUCACUAGCUGUUUGCGAUACACUGUAAGCGGCACAGCGAAAGCGUUAAGUGAUCCACCUGGGGAGUACGCCGGCAACGGUGAAACUCAAAGGAAUUGACGGGGGCCCGCACAAGCGGAGGAACAUGUGGUUUAAUUCGAUGAUACGCGAGGAACCUUACCCGGGUUUGAACGCAUUCGGACCGAGGUGGAAACACCUUUUCUAGCAAUAGCCGUUUGCGAGGUGCUGCAUGGUUGUCGUCAGCUCGUGCCGUGAGGUGUCGGCUUAAGUGCCAUAACGAGCGCAACCCUUGCCACUAGUUACUAACAGGUGAUGCUGAGGACUCUGGUGGGACUGCCAGCGUAAGCUGCGAGGAAGGCGGGGAUGACGUCAAAUCAGCACGGCCCUUACAUCCGGGGCGACACACGUGUUACAAUGGCGUGGACAAAGGGAGGCCACCUGGCGACAGGGAGCGAAUCCCCAAACCACGUCUCAGUUCGGAUCGGAGUCUGCAACCCGACUCCGUGAAGCUGGAUUCGCUAGUAAUCGCGCAUCAGCCAUGGCGCGGUGAAUACGUUCCCGGGCCUUGUACACACCGCCCGUCAAGCCAUGGGAGCCGGGGGUACCUGAAGUCCGUAACCGCGAGGAUCGGCCUAGGGUAAAACUGGUGACUGGGGCUAAGUCGUAACAAGGUAGCCGUACCGGAAGGUGCGGCUGGAACACCUCCUUU
rnacentral:rRNA from 1 species